rnacentral:rRNA from 1 species
UGGGGAACCUGCCCCAUAGUCUGGGAUACCACUUGGAAACAGGUGCUAAUACCGGAUAAGAAAGCGGAUCGCAUGAUCAGCUUUAAAAGGCGGCGUAAGCUGUCGCUAUGGGAUGGCCCCGCGGUGCAUUAGCUAGUUGGUAAGGUAAAGGCUUACCAAGGCGAUGAUGCAUAGCCGAGUUGAGAGACUGAUCGGCCACAUUGGGACUGAGACACGGCCCAAACUCCUACGGGAGGCAGCAG